rnacentral:rRNA from 1 species
UACGAAGGGGGCUAGCGUUGCUCGGAAUCACUGGGCGUAAAGGGUGCGUAGGCGGGUUUUUAAGUCAGAGGUGAAAUCCUGGAGCUCAACUCCAGAACUGCCUUUGAUACUGAAAGUCUUGAGUAUGGGAGAGGUAUGUGGAACUCCGAGUGUAGAGGUGAAAUUCGUAGAUAUUCGGAAGAACACCAGUGGCGAAGGCGACAUACUGGAUCAUUACUGACGCUGAGGCUCGAAAGCGUGGGGAGCAAACAGG